rnacentral:lncRNA from 1 species
GCAACUAAUUAAUAGAAAUAAACAAGGAACAACCUUGUAAAAACCCGAAAUAGGAUAGAAAGUCGGGCUAUGCCCCUUUGGAUCACAAGUUUUGUUUCAUGCUUCUAACAACCGACAUUCAUUGGCAUAAAUUAAGUAGUGAAGAGUCUAAGCUCGGUCAGGUAUAUCAUUUGAAAUUUAACAUGAAGAUCUUAAGUUGGGAAAACAAAAGACUGAUAUGAGUAAUUGCUACAGCGGAAGUCUAUCAUAGGAAUUUAUCGCUAGCCUCAGCUCCGUCCCGUCAGCACCGGCCAGCCAACCUGAAAACAUUUGAAAGUAUUUUUGGGCUAAGUACUAAUGUACUCAGUGGGCAUGCAUUUUCAUAAACAUCUCAUAUUUCGUAAAGACAGUUUAUCCAAUCAUAAUUGACAUAACUUAGAAGGUUUUAAAUUGAAGAACUUCUAAGCAUGUUAAAAAUUUUUCAUUUGUGCGCACAUGUCACACUCCCUUUCCGUUACUCGCUGUGAUCCCGGACCUUUUAGCCACCGACGGAUCCAUUUCUCCCAUUGCACUUGCCCUGAGGACGUAACUCAGACAAGUUGAAUUGACCUCGGGACGCUACCCAGGCAGGCCUUACAUGAUACAUGCUCCGGAACACAUCCCGUCGAGCACCCUUAUAACGCCUCUGGCCAGUGCCCGAUGGAGAUCAACCCACCAGGUCAACUAGCAUGUGUACACGAUUCUCAGACAACGUGUUAGGUCAUAAGAGAACCUCAAUUGAUUAACUUUGCGAGCCUUAAACAGAGCAGAGUGCACAUAAACAUUUUAUUGGAUAAACAGUUUGCAUUUCAUUAAAUAAACAGUUUGCAUUUCAUUGAAACAUUUAGAGCUUAAUAAUUCAAUCAUACUUUAUACAUUUGGAAAGUAAGCCCACCUGGAUAGGCAAAGCCUGAAGAUCAUAAUCACAUA